GAUUGGUCGAUUCCGUCACUCUGGUAGCCGAGCGUGUUUUGCAGUGCUGUAGACGACGGAAGAUCAGUAAUACAGCAUCAUGUUUCAGACUAUACCUGUAUCGCAAGCGUCUCGACGGGUGGAGCGAGGGGAAUUAAAGGAACUAUUUUAAGUAUCUACUAUGAUCCCUUUAAAUGGUCCCUGGUGAAGAGUAUUCUGUUCUUUGCUGUUGGUGUCAAAACUGCAAAUGAUUUUGUUGGAUUUGAUGUUCUUAAUCCAAAUCCACAGUAAAGGUGUGUCCGUAUAAGAAUUUUCCUGAGAAGAUGGUUUAAUAGAAGAAAGAUUGUUUCUUAUACAAUGUAUAGUAUAUUACAAUGCCUAUUUUGUAAUUGUUUGUGUAAACACUGUAAAAACUAUAUGAAUUUUUAUUUCUGUUUUUGAGAAAUAACAAAAGGUUAAAAAAA